UACGUAGGGGGCAAGCGUUGUCCGGAUUUAUUGGGCGUAAAGAGCGUGUAGGCGGCUUUACAGGUCCGUUGUGAAAACUCGAGGCUCAACCUCGAGACGCCGGUGGAAACCGUAAAGCUAGAGUCCGGAAGAGGAGAGUGGAAUUCCUGGUGUAGCGGUGAAAUGCGCAGAUAUCAGGAAGAACACCUGUGGCGAAAGCGGCUCACUGGACCGCAACUGACGCUGAGGCGCGAAAGCUAGGGGAGCAAACAGG
rnacentral:rRNA from 1 species